AACCCCAUCAAAUAUUUGUAGGAGAAACCCUAAACAUUUUCAUUCUCUCAUUCUCCAAAAUGGAGAACAACCGCUAACCCCUUUGAGAGCUCCAUCUUCUCUAUCACUUGAGAGAUCUGCCGCCAAGCUCCUCCUUGCCCCCCCUGUUUUCGUCGUCGGCCAGCCACCAACGGCCAUGGCUGGCAGUUAUCCCCUUUUUCCCAUUUUCCUAAUCGUUUGUUAGCUUUGAGGGUUCGAUCUCGUUGGCUUUAGAUCUAGCCGGAAACUCAAACACCGGCUACCUCCAUGGAAAGCGGCAGAUCUGGACCUCUAUUUUCGCUCAUUUUCUGUUACUCACUCUCCUCUUUCUUCCUUCUUACAGGCUAUCAAAAAAGGGGAGGUUUGGGAUGUUUUGAAUCUGGCCGGAAAUGAAGCUAACGUCGGUGACUUCUUUGAUGUUAGGCGUUACUCUGGCGUUCAUCGUGGAAGUAAAGCCAACAACCAUUGCUUUUCAUCCUUCGCUGUCGACCUCUGUUAUUUGGCCAGAUCUCCGGCGAACCUCCUUUCUUUUGUGAUGCGUUCAUUAUUUUGUGAGGCUUAUUUGGUUAUAGUGACAUUGUGAUACCAUUGCUGCUGUUGGAUAUUCUGGCUGGAUUGACGUUUUUCCGGCAACCCCAGGGGAUUUGAAAUGUUUAUUUUUCUACCUAAUAUUGCCUUUGUUGUGUUGCUGAAAAUGGUUCAUUAAACUCACCAUAUUAUUUCCUAGUCGUUUGCUCGAAUUUGUCCCAAAGGCAGAAGAUUUUGUUAAAUAAUUAUCUUUGUAUUUCUUUGUCCUUUGGAUUCGUUCAACUGCUGUAAUUUGUCACGAUGCUGCCUCUUUUGGACCGUUGCCUACUGUGUUUUGAUGAUUUAUGUUUCGAGAAUUUUGGAGUGUUUGUUCUUGCCUCACUGUUUGUUCUCGAUGAACGUUUGUAGUGGACCUUGACUGAUUUGAACGAGAUACUGCGUUGUUAAAUUAGGCCGAUGAGAACAAAAUAUUUGAGGCCUUGUGAUGAUUUUUGACUGAUAAAAGACAAGAUACUACACGGUCUCUCGGAUCCGGAACCAAAAUACAUUUAUGAGGCGAUGACGAAAGCCAAAGGAAAAACAAAAGACGAGAAUGUGAAUGUCUGUGCUUCAGGAGGCAACAUGGUUGGCCACCGGAGUUGCUACAAAGUCGACGUUCAUGUUCUAAUAUCUUAUUGUUAUAUGGCAUACACCAUCUGAGCUUCCAAAAAUUCUUUUAAAUCAUUUUAAAAAGAGUGUUUUCCUAUAUUAUUUUAAAAAUAUUUUCCAAAAAUUACUUUCCAAAAGAUAUCUUGAAAAACAUUUUUUCACAGAAUUGCUUUCCAAAAAGUAUUUUCUUAACCAUUUUCAAAGAAAACAAAAAUAAUAUUUAAAAGUAUUUUCUUAAAUCAUUUUUAAAUGACAAUAUUCGAAAAACGUCUUUAAAUAAAGUCAUUUCAAGAAAAAAUAAAUUAGUUUAUUAUUUUGCUUUAUACUUUACUAAUAAUUUUACUUUUCUUGUCUUGCGAGGUACUAUCACAUGGAGUUGCUUUCGGGAGACGUCACCCAAAGACGAAAAGACAAGUACCCGUCAAAGCUCCCCGCUUCACACUUCAUAUUCUUGGAUAUACUGCGUUGUUAAAUUAGGUCGAUGAGAACAAAAUUUUUGAGGCCUUGUGAUGAAUUUUGACUGAUAAAGGACAUGUUACUACACCGUCCCUCGGAUCUGAAACCAAAAUACAUUUAUGAGGCGAUGACGAAAGCCAAAGGAAAAAUAAAAGACGAGAAUGUGAAUGUUUGUGCUUCAGGAAGCAACAUGAUUGGCCACCGGAGUUGCUACCAAGUCGGUGUUCGCGUUCUAAUAUCUUAUUGCUAUAUGGCAUACACCAUCCGAGCCUCCAAAAAAAAAUUUAAAUAAUUUUCAAAAGAAUAUUUUUCUAUAUUGUUUUAAAACUAUUUUCCAAAAACUACUUUCCAAAGAAUAUCUUCAAAAACAUUUUUUCAGAGAAUUGAUUUCCAAAAUGUAUUUACUUAACCAUUUUCAAAUAAACAAAAAUAAUUUUUCAAAACUAUUUUCUUAAAUUAUUUUUAAAUGACAAUGUUCUAAAAAUGCCUUUAAAUAAAGUCAUUUCAAGAAAAAAUGAAUUAGUUUAUUAUUUUGCUUUAUACUUUACUAAUAAUUUUACUUUUCUCGUCUUGCGAGGUAAUAUCACAUAAAGUUGCUUUCGGGAGACGUCACCCAAAGACGAAAAGAUGUGUCCCCGUCAAAGCUCCCCGCUUUGCACUUCCUAUUCUUGGAUAUAUCCAAAACGUAAAGUAUAGUAAAGUAGUAGAUAAAUAUUGUGUUUGCUUGCUUGCUUUGAUGUUUACCUAUUUGCGAAACACUCAGGGUGAAUUGCAUUUAGAAAUAAUCCGGUUAACUUGUAACAUUGUACAUUACAUAAUUCACAUAAUUUGUAUGGA